CCGGGCUGGGGGGUCGCCACCGGUGCUCCCUGUCUGCUCCUUCCCUGCUGCCCCCGCGUCUGACCCCAGUACCGCUCCAGCCCCAGCCUGACCCAUGCGGAAGGGGAGGCGAGGCCGGGCGGCCAGUCCCCGCGGCGGGCUCUGGUCCCCGCCGGGACACUCCGCUGCGCAAAGGAGAGGCCCCGAAAGCGGUCGUCGCCGGUAGAACGGCGCCGCUGGCCGCCACCCCGGGUCGGGCCGGGUCGCCGGGGGUGGAGAAGCCCGGGCCGGGUGGCCCCAGUGCGGAGAGCCCAGGGCCCGCUUCUGGCUGCCGGCAGUGCGCCCGGCCGGCCCGAGGUCCUCGCCGCGCCCCGACACCUGGAUUGCAUUAGGCGGGCGGCGCGCGCCUCGGCGACGGCGGCUUCCCCCGAUUAUUGAAUAACUGCAUAAUUUCGAGCGCCGGUUGCCCCGUCCCUACCCCGCGUAUCAGAAUCUGGCAGCAUGGGGAGGGGAACAGAUGUGCCCUCCCUCUUCAACAUGCAGAACACAGAAGAGAAGCCCACGCUGGAGGCCCCAGGGGUGGAGCUGACAAGACACGACCUGUUUUACUUCACUCUGCAGUCCUUUCCUGAAGCAGACAAGAUUUCUCUGCCUGCUAGGAAGAUGUAGCCAGCAGACCCAAACUUACACUUUAUGGAUUCUAAACAGAAAGAGACAGCCUUCCCUACUCGAUCCAGCAGAAAAGCCCAGGGCUUUGGUUCAUGCCCACUCCAGAACCCAUCAGCACCUGGAGAAUAUGGUACUAUAAUUGGCCCAGUCUGUGGCACACGCCCAGCCCUGAGGAGUUGGGAAGAGAAGGGUGUUAUGACUGACAGCCGCAGCAAGAUGGCAUAUCAUAGGAGAAGAGUUCCCUAAAGGAAACAGAUAAAGGGGGAUGACAAAGUAUGCCAGGCAGAAAAAUCCACAGUUGCCAAGUCCACUUGAGAAAUCUAAACUCAAAGUAGCAAAGGAUGCACCCGAGAUCCCACAGCACCUGCGUGGCAGAACUGGGAUUCGAAUCCCAAUGGACUCACAACUCAUCACCACAUCACAGCUGGAUGGGGGAAGCAGGUGUUUUAGGUCAGGACUGCAUGAACAUGGUUAGCCCAGAGACGUCCUGUGGGUGGGAUCUGCUGAGCCUUGAUCUUGGUCCCAAUGCCGAGGGUCAUUGACUGGGAUUCCUACCAGGAUCAAGCCCUGUACACAGCCUAUACCAAAUCCAGGAAGUUAUCUUCUGAUUUCCAUUUCUCAAGCCACAAGUAUGUACAGUAUUUCGCAGUAAAGAUAUCAAAGGGAAGGAGUAUGGCCACAGUACAAACAGACACGCAGGAUGGAUGAGGAAACAUCCUCUUGAAGAAAAACAUCUCAUUUGGAGACUACAAAUUGCCUUAAAAGUCUGGAGGUAGCAGUCAACAUCCUAGCUGAAAGGCCAUUUCUGAUGAGUGAAGCCCUUGACCAUGGACCAGACAGGAAGAGUGACAUCAGGAACAAACGUCACAGUGACAACAGUAUGAAGAACAACUUGCCUUCAACUGAGUACUCAGUAUGGACGAACUAUAACUCCUGCAUCAUUUCCUUUAGCCUCCUGCAUGGCCCAGGGCAUCGUCCAGGAACUUCUCCCCGGCCCUGGCUGGGCUGGGACGUCAGAGAGAAGUCAUGAAGGUUAGGGUCUGCAUGGAAUGCACCAGGGUAAAGAUGGGCUUACGGAGGGCUCUCUGGAGAGUCUCAAACAAAGACAAGGAGCAGAGAAAGGGAUUCCCAACAGUGCACAGGGACCAGAUGCGAGGGUGCCUUUGGGCCAAGGGACAGGAACUGAGCCAUUUGAUAAGCAUAUUCCUGUGAGUGUGUUUGGGCCGAACACAGGUACACACGCCCAUGCAAACAGUCACAUGCGUGCAUGCGUGUCCGUGCCAACAAUAAACACACUCUUCCCCUCCAGCACAAUCCAAACCCAUGUUGAGGAAGAGAAACAUUUCUCCAAGCACGCUUCAAACGUACUGAUUACCCUAUGCCUUUUGGGGAUAGCAUUUCCCAUGAUUUUUUAGAAUACUGUUGAUUCCUCAUCGUUCUUUCUCCCACUUUCAGAUGAAACCUAAGCAUCCAUGUCUCAAAUGCCAGGAACAGAGCUCCCAAGGGACACCCUUUGGUUUGAAAAAAAGCCAUAAAAAGCUUUGUUAUUGGUAUCCUUUUCUUUACUUUGGGGGCAGAUCAAAUUCCAGCAGGUAAAUCCUAGGGAUUUUGCAGGAGGGUGAGGUUGGUUAAAAAAAGAUAAGGGUGGAAAUAAUUUUGGUCCCAUUGUGAGAUAUUUUUAAUCAGCCUUCACUUGAUAGGUAAUGAGCUGUUUUUGAGUGAGAUGGGGGAAGGGCAGGGAGGGUUGUAUCCAUAUAAGUCAGGAGGACAGAAACCUGUGGCCUUUGACCAAUUCAGGAAGGUUCUACGGAGGAGGGGUCAACACCUCCCAGAUCAUCUUUCAGACACCCCCUCCUGCUCCCCCCCAAGAUAUUGUGUGCUUUCAUGUGCAUUGCUUGAGUUUCCGUAAAGAUGCUUCCUUUUUCCAGCCUUA